rnacentral:SRP_RNA from 1 species
AUACUGAAAAUGCAAUAACGCGUGUCUGUUGAGCGAAGGCUUGGCUCAGGCGGUUCCUAAAGUGGAGGGCAAUGCGCUAGGCUGGUUUCACAGAGCAGCGAUCACCUCCCACUUUCGGCAGU